AUUGAACGCUGGCGGCAUGCCUAACACAUGCAAGUCGAACGAGACCUUCGGGUCUAGUGGCGCACGGGUGCGUAACGCGUGGGAAUCUGCCCUUGGGUUCGGAAUAACAGCGAGAAAUUGCUGCUAAUACCGGAUGAUGACGUAAGUCCAAAGAUUUAUCGCCCAAGGAUGAGCCCGCGUAGGAUUAGCUAGUUGGUGAGGUAAAGGCUCACCAAGGCGACGAUCCUUAGCUGGUCUGAGAGGAUGAUCAGCCACACUGGGACUGAGACACGGCCCAGACUCCUACGGGAGGCAGCAGUGGGGAAUAUUGGACAAUGGGCGAAAGCCUGAUCCAGCAAUGCCGCGUGAGUGAUGAAGGCCUUAGGGUUGUAAAGCUCUUUUACCCGGGAUGAUAAUGACAGU
rnacentral:rRNA from 1 species